ensembl:lncRNA
CUUUUAUGACAGUAGAUAAAGAUCAUGAUGUCCUGGCCUCACAGCUGGGGCCUCCACUGGAAAUACACCUGUUAAAUAAAGGUAUGGUAGGAGCUCACAUGAAUGAAGUUUAGUGGCCUGAAUAGAGCUCUGGAAAUUUGCAGGGUCUUAUCUUGCAUAAGCCACUGAAUCGUGGCUUGACCUGAGAGGAAGCACACGACCUCCUGGGCUAUAGAUCAGUGCAUCCGGAAAUAAAGAAUAAUGUAGAUCUCAUUGGAAAACAUGAAGGGGAACUUUCCUGGGAAAACCAAUAAAAAUAUUGUUUGGUUGGAAUUAUAUCAAAUUACUUCUUAUCACUUCUGGGGUAGAAACUGAUAAAAAAAGAUGCUGUGAAGUCUUUCAUACAGAGGACUUGGGAGCUGUCUUUCCUGUUUGUGCUGGUGAAGAGCCCUGUCUCUGUUCAGUGAGGCUCUCUAGGCUUUGCUCUGACGCUCACAUGGCCUCUUUCCCCCUGUUGUGUAGACAUCCCAGAGGAUCGCCAACCAGCUGCAUGGGACUAUUGCCUUGGUGAGACCUGGCUCGAGACCAUGCCUCCAGGAAAAAAGUCCUCCAGGGGCCACACUGUCCCCACCAGCAAGAAAGACUCCUCUCCCACUGGAGCGUGAGCACAGCCCCAGCCUCGAGGCUUAUGCAACAGCAAGCAAGCCAGACUCUCCCAAGGUUGCUCCAUCCUAUGAAAACCUAAAACUGACUGCCAGGAAAGAGCAGCUCUGCCUCCUCAGCAAGCAUUUUUCCCUGCACCAGCUGGGGCUGGCGAGUACCUGUGCUUCUGCCGACCGGGAUGGCAGCUUCUCCAGCCAUUUCCUCAGGGCCAAAGACGCUGAAGGCAGUGUGAAGUCGUGCGACGACUGGGAAGAUCGCGCAGCCAUUUUCAAACUCCCCGGCGCCGUGGUUUACAUGCGGGAUCAGCAUCUGGAGGGGAAACUCCACUUCCUCAAGCACCGAGAGUGGCUGCAGCACUUCCUCGCUCACCAGCGCCAGCAAGGCCUCCGCGCCAGGGCGGAUGGCGACCCGCAACCCGCUCCCGAGGAGCGGUCCCCGACCCCCUGGCCGAGCGUCACGCCAGGAGGCAAAGAGGAAAGCUCCUUCCUGGAGGACACCGUGGAUGGGAAAGACGACAAAGAGCUUUGGCUAAGCAGGGACGGCUCUGAGCUCAGAGAGAAGGCCGAGGCGGCGAGGGACUACGGCACAGAUGCGCCGCUGGACCUGUCGGACUCGGGUCGCGGCAGGGAGAGGGGCCGGCACAGCUCCCCGGAGCUGCGGGAGGCGGGCCACGGGUGGCCCAGCCCUGGGGAGACCCCCCCUGCUCCAGCAGCCCAGGGCUCCUGCCGACGGCACAGGGCAGAGCGGGACGACUCGCACCUCUCCUACCGCUGCCUCCAAGCUGCCCGAGCUCAGCACAGGGGCCAGCCCGGCGGUGUCAAGGAGGAGGAAGAAGAGGAGGAGCAAGCAGCCGUGCUCUCUUUCUCACGGGCCCACCCCACAAGCAAGUCAACGUCGAGUGACCCUGAGGCCCUUCUGGAGACCAGGAUGAGACUGUCUCUCAAUGCACAGAAGGCAGAACCAGACGAUGAGGAUGUUGAGUCUGGGAAGCAGGACUCUGAUGAGCCCAACACAACGGACAGCGAGGUCACUGUUCCAUAUGAACACAACAUCCCACAAGAAGCCCAAGCUGAAGGAGAAUAUUUUUGCACCAAAGACAGAGCUGAUGCGCUGCUAAAGAAGAGAAAAAGAGCACAGGAUCCCUUGACAAAAGCAGUAUCAAAGAAGUCACUGAGAGGAAGAAAGAAAAUCAAAGCUGAAGAGCGCUCAGCUGGGGCACCGGGGAUCACAAAGAACCUGGAGAACUGCUCCGCUUCCCACCACAACACCUCCGAGGAGAGCUAA